rnacentral:rRNA from 1 species
UAGAGUUUGAUCCUGGCUCAGGAUGAACGCUGGCGGCGUGCUUAACACAUGCAAGUCGAACGAAGCACUUUAUUUGAUUUCCUUCGGGACUGAUUAUUUUGUGACUGAGUGGCGGACGGGUGAGUAACGCGUGGGUAACCUGCCUUGUACAGGGGGAUAACAGUUGGAAACGGCUGCUAAUACCGCAUAAGCGCACGGCAUCGCAUGAUGCAGUGUGAAAAACUCCGGUGGUAUAAGAUGGACCCGCGUUGGAUUAGCUAGUUGGUGAGGUAACGGCCCACCAAGGCGACGAUCCAUAGCCGACCUGAGAGGGUGACCGGCCACAUUGGGACUGAGACACGGCCCAAACUCCUACGGGAGGCAGCAGUGGGGAAUAUUGCACAAUGGGCGAAAGCCUGAUGCAGCGACGCCGCGUGAGCGAAGAAGUAUUUCGGUAUGUAAAGCUCUAUCAGCAGGGAAGAUAAUGACGGUACCUGACUAAGAAGCACCGGCUAAAUACGUGCCAGCAGCCGCGGUAAUACGUAUGGUGCAAGCGUUAUCCGGAUUUACUGGGUGUAAAGGGAGCGUAGGCCGGAGAUUAAGCGUGUUGUGAAAUGUAGACGCUCAACGUCUGCACUGCAGCGCGAACUGGUUUCCUUGAGUACGCACAAAGUGGGCGGAAUUCGUGGUGUAGCGGUGAAAUGCUUAGAUAUCACGAAGAACUCCGAUUGCGAAGGCAGCUCACUGGAGCGCAACUGACGCUGAAGCUCGAAAGUGCGGGUAUCGAACAGGAUUAGAUACCCUGGUAGUCCGCACGGUAAACGAUGGAUGCCCGCUGUUGGUCUGAAUAGGUCAGCGGCCAAGCGAAAGCAUUAAGCAUCCCACCUGGGGAGUACGCCGGCAACGGUGAAACUCAAAGGAAUUGACGG